CCUACGGGUGGCAGCAGUGGGGAAUAUUGGACAAUGGGGGCAACCCUGACGCAGCGACGCCGCGUGAGUGAAGAAGUAAUUCGUUACGUAAAGCUCUAUUAGCAGGGAAGAAAAUGACGAUACCUGAGGAAGAAGCCCCGGCUAACUACGUGCCAGCAGCCGCGGUAAUAAGUAGGGGGCAAGAGUUAUCAGGCUUUACUGGGUGUAAAGGGAGGGUAGACGGUGCGGCAAGUCUGGAGUGAAAUGCAGGAGCUUAACGGCUGAACUGCUUUGGAAACUGGCGAACUAGAGUGCGGGAGGGGUAGGCGGAAUUCCUAGUGUAGCGGUGAAAUGCGUAGAUAUUAGGAGGAACACCGGUGGCGAAGGCGGCUUACUGGACCGUAACUGACGUUGAGGCGCGAAAGCGUGGGGAGCAAACAGGAUUAGAUACCCUUGUAGUC
rnacentral:rRNA from 1 species